AUUUUAUUUAUUAAAAAAAAUUAUUAAUUAUUUAUUUAUAGUAUUAGUUAUAGAAAUAAUAAUUAUAAUUAUAGUGUAUUAGUAUUGUGAAAGAAAAUUGAAAUAAUUUGAAAAUUUAAUAUUAAUAAAGAAAAUUUUGUUUAUUGUAUCUUGUGUAUCAGAGUUUAUUAAAUAAAAAUUAUAUAUUAAUAAUUUUCUCGAUUUUAAAAGAGUUAAUAUAUUAUAGUUUUUAUUGUUAUAAAAUUAUUAAAAAUAAUAUAUUAGAAAUGAAAUGUUAUUCGUUUUUAAAGGUAUCUAGUUUUUUGAGAAAUAAAUUUAAUUUAUAAAUUAUUUAUUAUUAAUUUUAUUUUUAAAUAUAAUAAAUAAAUAAUUUAAAUACUUAAUGGGUUAAGCUUUUAAGUAAAUAGUUAUAAAUUAUAUAUAUAUAUAUAUAAAAUAUAAUCUUAAUAUUAGUUAUUAUUAAAAAAAGUGUUAUAAUUUAUUUAAGAUUAUUAUUGAUUUAUUAAAUUUUAAUUUUUUAUCAAAUUAUUAUAUUUAAUAUGAUAAUAUAAUUAAUAAUGAUAGAAUUAGUAUAAUAUUUUGUAAAAAUUUGAUUAAUAUGAUAAGUUUUUAUAAAGAAUUAGGCAAAUUUUAUGUUCGCCUGUUUAACAAAAACAUGUCUUUUUGAAUUUAAUUGAAAGUCUGACCUGCCCACUGAUUAUUUAAAUGGCCGCAGUAUUUUGACUGUGCAAAGGUAGCAUAAUAAUUAGUCUUUUAAUUGAAGGCUGGAAUGAAUGGUUGGACGAAAUAUAAACUGUUUCAUAUGAAUUUUUAAUAGAAUUUUAUUUUUUAGUAAAAAAGCUAAAAUUUAAUUAAAAGACGAGAAGACCCUAUAAAUCUUUUAUAUAUAUAUAUAUAUAUAUAUAUAUAUAUAUAUAUAUUUAUGUUGGUUGGGGUGAUAUUAUUUUGUUGGGGUGAUAUUAAAAUUUNNNNNNNUUUUUUUAUAUAUAUAUUCUUUAUAUUUUGUUGGGGUGAUAUUAAAAUUUAAAUAACUUUUAUUAUAUUUAUAUACAUUAAUUAAUGAUUAAUUGAUCCAAUAAUAUUGAUCAUAAGAAUAAGUUACUUUAGGGAUAACAGCGUAAUUUUUUUGGAGAGUUCAUAUCGAUAAAAAAGAUUGCGACCUCGAUGUUGGAUUAAGAUAAUGUUUAGGUGUAGAUACUUAAAUAAUAAGUCUGUUCGACUUUUAAAAUCUUACAUGAUCUGAGUUCAAACCGGUGUAAGCCAGGUUGGUUUCUAUCUUUAAUAAAAUAUAAUAUUAUAGUACGAAAGGAUUUAAUAUUAGAUAUAUUAGUAUUUAUUUAAUUGAAUAAU
rnacentral:rRNA from 1 species